ACCUGGCUGGCUCAGUCGUUAGAGCAUGCGACUCUUGAUCUCAGGGUUGUGAGUUUGAGCCCCAUGUUGGGCG
rnacentral:tRNA from 1 species